rnacentral:rRNA from 1 species
AUUGAACGCUGGCGGCAGGCCUAACACAUGCAAGUCGAGCGAGUGGCGGACGGGUGAGUAAUGUCUGGGAAACUGCCUGAUGGGGGGGGAUAACUAAUGGAAACGGUAGCUAAUACCGCAUAUCCUCACAUGUGCCCAGAUGGGAUUGGCUGUUGGGUGGGGUAACGGCUCACCUGGGCGACGAUCCCUAGCUGGUCUGCGAGGCUGACCAGCAACACUGGAACUGAGACACGGUCCAGACUCCUACGGAAGGCAGCAGUGGGGAAUAUUGCACAAUGGGCGCAAGCCUGAGACAGCCAUGCGGCGUAUAGGAAGAGGGCCUUCGGGUUGUAAAGUACUUUCAGAGGGGAGGCGUUACCCGAAGAAGAAGCAACGGCUAACUCCGUGCCAGCCGCCGCGGUAAUUC